CUGGACACAGAGCAUCCAGUCAUGGAUAAAAAUGAGCUGGUUCAGAAGGCCAAACUGGCCGAGCAGGCUGGUGAUACAAUGACACAGCAGCCUGCGUGAAGUCUGUAACUGAGCUAGGAGGGGAAUUAUCCAAGGAGAGAGGAGUCUUCUCUAAGUUGCUUAUAAGGAUGUUGCAGGAGCCUGUAGGUCAUCUUGGAAGGUCGUCUCAAGUAUUGAGCAAAAGAUGGAAGGUGCUGAGAAAAAACAGCAGAUGGCUUGAGAAUACAAAGAGAAAAUUGAGACCGAGCUAAGAGUUAUCUGCAAUGAUGUACUGUCCCUUUUGGAAAAGUUCUUGAUUCCCAACGCUUCAUAAGCAGAGAGCAAAGUCUUCUAUUUGAAAAUGAAAGGAGACUACUACAGUUACUUGGCUGAGGUUGCUGCUGGUGAUGAUAAGAAAGGAAUUGUGGAUCAGUCACAACGUACCAUAGCUUUUGAAAUUAGCAAAAAGGAAACGCAGCCAACACAUCCUAUCCGAUUGGGUCUGGUCCUUAACUUCUCUGUCUUUUAUUCUGAGAUUCUGAACUCCCCAGAGAAAACCUUCUCUCUUACAAGGACAGCUUUUGAUGAAGCCAUUGCUGAACUUGAUACAUUAAGUGAAGAGUCAUACGAAGACAGCAGGCUAAUAAGGCAAUGGCUGAGAGACAACUUGACAUUGUGGACAUCGGAUACCCAGGGAGAUGACGCUGAGGCAGGAGAAGGAGGGGAAAAUUAACCCGCCUUCCAACUUCUGUCUGCCCCAUUCUAAAAUUUACACAGUAGACCAUUUGUCACCCAUGCUGUCCCACAAAUAGUUUUGUUCACGAUUUAUGACAGGUUGAUGUUACUUCUAUUUGAAUUUCUGUAUUUCCCAUGUGGUUUUAUGUUUAAUAUCAGGGGAGUAGAGCCAGUUAACAUUUAUGGAGUUCUCUGUUUUCAUCUUGAGGUGGCCAAUACGGGGAUAUGGAAUUUUUGUGUAAGUUAUAAAUGUUUAGCAUAGUACUGUUGGGACAUUGUGGCUUCCCAAGGCCAGUGUUAAAACUGUUGCCAUGUCUGAGCAAAGAAAACGUCCUACAUAUUGAUUUGUCCUGGUAGGGAAUGAAAGGGAUCAUUGGGUCCAGUCACAGGUGUAGUUAUCGUGGG